AACGAACGCUGGCGGCAUGCCUAACACAUGCAAGUCGAACGAGACCUUCGGGUCUAGUGGCGCACGGGUGCGUAACGCGUGGGAACCUGCCCUUAGGUUCGGAAUAACUCCCCGAAAGGGGUGCUAAUAUCGGAUAAUGUCUUCGGACCAAAGAUUUAUCGCCUUUGGAUGGGCCCGCGUUGGAUUAGCUAGUUGGUAGGGUAAAAGCCUACCAAGGCGACGAUCCAUAGCUGGCCUGAGAGGAUGAUCAGCCACACUGGGACUGAGACACGGCCCAGACUCCUACGGGAGGCAGCAGUGGGGAAUAUUGGACAAUGGGCGAAAGCCUGAUCCAGCAAUGCCGCGUGAGUGAUGAAGGCCUUAGGGUUGUAAAGCUCUUUUACCCGGGAUGAUAAUGACAGUACCGGGAGAAUAAGCUCCGGCUAACUCCGUG
rnacentral:rRNA from 1 species